ACUUCUGAAAUGGAUGAGUGGAAAGCAGCUAUUUAAGAACUAGACUUGGGGGGGCAGAGGAGGCCCAGAAGCGGGCGGUGACAGCGACAGCGGCGGCAGAGGAGGCAGCGGCUGGGCCCGAGCCCCGUGCGUCUGUCCGCCCCCUGUGGAUGCGAAUUGGCCACAGCGGAGGCGCCAGCGGCGGAGGAGUCGGUGGGGCGCGGAGGAUGAGGCCGCUGCCUGGCGCUCCUGGCGUGGCGGCGGCCGUCGCGCUGUUGCUGCUGCUGCUGCUGCUGCUACUGCUGCUGCUGCUGCUGCCGCUGCUGCCGCCGCCGCCGCCCCGGGCACAGGGGGACGAGCACGAACACACGUAUCAAGAUAAAGAGGAAGUUGUCUUAUGGAUGAAUACUGUUGGGCCCUACCAUAAUCGUCAAGAAACAUAUAAAUACUUUUCACUUCCAUUCUGUGUGGGGCCAAAAAAAAGUAUCAGUCAUUACCAUGUAACUCUAGGAGAAGCACUUCAAGGGGCUGAACUGGAACUUAGUGGUCUGGAUAUUAAAUUUAAAGAUAAUGUGAAGCCAGCCAGUUACUGUGAAAUUGAUUUAGAUAAAGAAAAGAGAGACGCAUUUGUAUAUGCCAUAAAAAAAUCAUUACUGGUACCAGAUGUACAUAGAUGAUUUACCAAUAUGGGGUAUUGUUGGUGAGGCUGAUGAAAAUGGAGAUUACUAUCUUUGGACCUACAAAAAACUUGAAAUAGGUUUUAAUGGAAAUCGAAUUGUUGAUGUUAAUCUAACUAGUGAAGGAAAGGUGAAACUGGUUCCGAAUACUAAAAUCCAGAUGUCAUAUUCAGUAAAAUGGAAAAAGUCAGAUGUGAAAUUUGAAGAUCGAUUUGACAAAUAUCUUGAUCCGUCCUUUUUUCAACAUCGGAUUCACUGGUUUUCAAUUUUCAACUCUUUCAUGAUGGUGAUCUUCUUGGUGGGCUUAGUUUCAAUGAUUUUAAUGAGAACAUUAAGAAAAGAUUAUGCUCAGUAAAGAGGAAGAAAUGGAUGAUAUGGAUAGAGACCUAGGAAAUGAAUAUGGAUGGAAACAGGUGCAUGGAGAUGUAUUAGACCAUCAAGUCACCGAUAUUUUCCUCUCUGAUUGGUUCUGGAUGUCAGAUAUUUGCUGUGUCUCUCAUUGUUAUUAUUGUUGCAAUGAUAGAAGAUUUAUAUACUGACAGGGGAUCAAUGCUCAGUACAGCCGUAUUUGUCUACGCUGCUACGUCUCCAGUGAAUGGUUAUUUUGGAGGAAGUCUGUAUGCUAGACAAGGAGGAAGGAGAUGGAUAAAGCAGAUGUUUAUUGGGGCAUUCCUUAUCCCAGCUAUAGUGUGUGGCACUGCCUUCUUCAUCAAUUUCAUAGCCAUUUAUUACCAUGCUUCAAGAGCCAUUCCUUUUGGAACAAUGGUGGCCGUUUGUUGCAUCUGUUUUUUUGUUAUUCUUCCUCUAAAUCUUGUUGGUACAAUACUUGGCCGAAAUCUGUCAGGUCAGCCCAACUUUCCUUGUCGUGUCAAUGCUGUGCCUCGUCCUAUAUCAGAGAAAAAAAUGGUUCAUGGAGCCUGCGGUUAUUGUUUGCCUGGGUGGAAUUUUACCUUUUGGUUCAAUCUUUAUUGAAAUGUAUUUCAUCUUCACGUCUUUCUGGGCAUAUAAGAUAUAUUACGUCUAUGGCUUCAUGAUGCUGGUGCUGGUUAUCCUGUGCAUUGUGACUGUCUGUGUGACUAUUGUGUGCACAUAUUUUCUACUAAAUGCAGAAGAUUACCGGUGGCAAUGGACAAGUUUUCUCUCUGCUGCAUCAACUGCAAUCUAUGUUUACAUGUAUUCCUUUUACUACUAUUUUUUCAAAACAAAGAUGUAUGGCUUAUUUCAAACAUCAUUUUACUUUGGAUAUAUGGCAGUAUUUAGCACAGCCUUGGGGAUAAUGUGUGGAGUGAUUGGUUACAUCGGAACAAGUGUCUUUGUCCGAAAAAUCUAUACUAAUGUGAAAAUUGACUAGAGACCCAAGAAAACCUGGAACUUCGGAUCAAUUUCUUUUUCAUAGGGGUGGAACUUGCACAGCAAAAACAAACGCAAGAAGAGAUUUGGGCUUUAACACACUGGGUACUUUGUGGGUCUCUCUUUCAUCGAUGGCUUAAAGUAACAUCUAUUUCCAUUGAUCCUAGGUUCUUCCUGACUGCUUUCUCCAACUGUUCACAGCAAAUGCUUGGAUUUUAUGCAGUAGGCAUUACUACAGCACAUGGCUAAUCUUCCCAAAAACUAGCUCAUUAAAGAUGAAAUAGACCAGCUCUCUUCAGUGAAGAGGACAAAUAGUUUAUUUAAAGCAUUUGUUCCAAUCAAAUAAAUAGAGGGAAACUUGGAUGCUAAAAUUACAUGAAUAGGAAUCUUCCUGGCACUUAGUGUUUCUAUGUUAUUGAAAAAUGAUGUUCCAGAAAGAUUACUUUUUUCCUCGUAUUUUUACUGCCAUUGUCGACCUAUCGUGAGACAUUUUUAUAUAUUGAAUCUGGGUUCUUUUUUGACUUUUUUUUUUCCCAAUCCAACUGCAUCCUUUUUUUUUUAAAAGAGAGAAUUAGAAACUAUUAAAUCCUGCAUGUAAUAUAUCUGCUGUCAUCUUAGUUGGACCAACUUCCCAUUUAUUUAUCUUAAAACUAUACAGUUACAUCUUAAUUCCAUCCAAAGAAGAUACAGCUUGAAGACAGAGGUGUACUCUUUACAAUGCAAUUUACUGUAGAGUUAGAAAGCAAAGUGUUAAAUGGAGAAGAUACCUGUUUUUAUUAAACAUUUUGAGAUUUAGAUAAACUACAUUUUAACUGAAUGUCUAAAGUGAUUAUCUUUUUUCCCCCCAAGUUAGUCUUACAUCUUUUGGGUUUGAAUGAAGGUUUUACAUAAGAAAUUAUUAACAACAAGGGGGGUGGGUAAUAGAUGUAUAUAACAUUAAAUAAUGUAACGUAGGUGUACAUUCCCAAAUGCAUUUGGAUGUACAGAUCGACUACAGAGUACUUUUUUCUUAUGAUGAUUGGUGUAGAAAUGUGUUAUUUGGAUGGCCUUUUACAUCUUGCCUACCAUUGCAUGAAACAUUGGGGUUUCUUCAAAAUGUGUGUGUCAUACUUCUUUUGGGAGGGGGGUUGUUUUCUUCUGUUUAUUUUCUGAGACUCCUACAGGAGCCAAAUUUGUAAUUUAGAGACAUUUAAUUUUGUUAAUCCUGUCUGGGACACUUAAGUAACAUCUACAGCAUUAUUGCUUUAGAAUGUUCAAAUAAAAUUUCCUGACAAAAAAAAAAAGAACUAGACUUAACCAACCAUUUUCUCACUAGAAUAUUAUGGUGUUUAGCAAUAACUGCAACAAUAGCAGUAGGAGCUAAUAUCUACUAAAUCUAUGUGCCAGUCAGCAAUCUAAGUGCUUCAGAUGAAUUACCUAACUUUCUCCUCACAACUCUUUAUUACUUAGACAUAAUUUUCAGCAUUUUACAGAUAAGGGCAUUUUACAGAGAGAUUAAGUAACUUGCCCAAGGCUAAAUAGCUAAUAAGUGACAGAGCCGAUUUUCAAAUCCAAGCUGCCUGGUUCCAGGUGAUUUUCAAUCCUGGCUACAUAACAGAAUCACCUAAAUACUACUGCCCAGGGACAA